rnacentral:tRNA from 1 species
GCCUGGAUGAUCUUCGGUGGUCCGGUGUGCAGGCUUCAAACCUGUAGCUGCUUAACGGCAGAGUGGUUCGAUUCCACCUUCUAGGCG